rnacentral:rRNA from 1 species
ACGCUGACGGCGUGCUUAACACGUGCAAGUCGAACGAUGAAGCCUAGCUUGCUAGGUGGAUUAGUGGCGAACGGGUGAGUAAUACGUGAGUAACCUACCUUUAACUCUGGGAUAAGCCUGGGAAACUGGGUCUAAUACCGGAUACGACCAAUCUCCGCAUGGGGUGUUGGUGGAAAGCGUUAUGUAGUGGUUAUAGAUGGGCUCACGGCCUAUCAGCUUGUUGGUGAGGUAACGGCUCACCAAGGCGACGACGGGUAGCCGGCCUGAGAGGGUGACCGGCCACACUGGGACUGAGACACGGCCCAGACUCCUACGGGAGGCAGCAGUGGGGAAUAUUGCACAAUGGGCGCAAGCCUGAUGCAGCGACGCCGCGUGAGGGAUGACGGCCUUCGGGUUGUAAACCUCUGUUAGCAGGGAAGAAGAGAAAUUGACGGUACCUGCAGAGAAAGCGCCGGCUAACUACGUGCCAGCAGCCGCGGUAAUACGUAGGGCGCGAGCGUUGUCCGGAAUUAUUGGGCGUAAAGAGCUUGUAGGCGGUUUGUCGCGUCUGCUGUGAAAGGCCGGGGCUUAACCCCGUGUAUUGCAGUGGGUACGGGCAGACUAGAGUGCAGUAGGGGAGACUGGAACUCCUGGUGUAGCGGUGGAAUGCGCAGAUAUCAGGAAGAACACCGAUGGCGAAGGCAGGUCUCUGGGCUGUAACUGACGCUGAGAAGCGAAAGCAUGGGGAGCGAACAGGAUUAGAUACCCUGGUAGUCCAUGCCGUAAACGUUGGGCACUAGGUGUGGGGGACAUUCCACGUUUUCCGCGCCGUAGCUAACGCAUUAAGUGCCCCGCCUGGGGAGUACGGCCGCAAGGCUAAAACUCAAAGAAAUUGACGGGGGCCCGCACAAGCGGCGGAGCAUGCGGAUUA